AUUGAACGCUGGCGGCAGGCUUAACACAUGCAAGUCGAGCGGGGUGAUGUUGCUUGCACUAUCACUUAGCGGCGGACGGGUGAGUAAUGCUUAGGAAUCUGCCUAUUAGUGGGGGACAACAUCUCGAAAGGGAUGCUAAUACCGCAUACGUCCUACGGGAGAAAGCAGGGGAUCACUUGUGACCUUGCGCUAAUAGAUGAGCAUAAGGCGGAUUAGCUAGUUGGUGGGGUAAAGGCCUACCAAGGCGACGAUCUGUAGCGGGACUGAGAGGAUGAUCCGCCACACUGGGACUGAGACACGGCCCAGACUCCUACGGGAGGCAGCAGUGGGGAAUAUUGGACAAUGGGGGGAACCCUGAUCCAGCCAUGCCGCGUGUGUGAAGAAGGCCUUAUGGUUGUAAAGCACUUUAAGCGAGGAGGAGGCUCUUUUGGUUAAUACCCAAGAUGAGUGGACGUUACUCGCAGAAUAAGCACCGGCUAACUCUGUGCCAGCAGCCGCAGUAA
rnacentral:rRNA from 1 species